AUGGCCCCCGUAGCCCCCGCCGCCGCCCCUCCCCCUCCCCCUCCCAGCCCGGCCGGGGAUGAAGGCCCUGACCCGCGCCCCUCUCCGGCGGUCGCUCUUUUCGCNNNNNNNNNNNNNNCACCGGAGCCGGGCUCUCCGGCCCCGGCGCCGGCCGCUUCGGCCCCUGCGGCUUCGACCCCGGCGCCCGCCGCUCUGGCCCCGGCCGCCCCGGCUUGGGUGGAGGCUGGGAGACAGCGCCGCCUGAGCCUGGAGAAGGUGGCUGCUCCCCCUCCCAGGAAGGAUGCUGGACUGCCUCGCACUUUCAAGCAGAGGACUUUCGGCCUCUGCUUUUGGUGCUUGGCGUCGGACCACUUCGUCGUGGGCUGCCGCGGCCCUGUCCGGUGCUUGGGAUGUGGCCACUCCGGCCAUCGCGAGCGGGAGUGCUUGGCACGGCAUCCUGCCGGUUCAGAACCUCGUCGUCCCCCCCUCGCGCCUAUCGGGCCUCGUCAGCGGCCUCCCCCCUGCAGCGGAUCGCCUCCAGCCCCACUACAUCGUCCUGGUCGCACUUGGGCUUCGGUGGUUUCUCAUCAAGACAGCCCUGCGACUGAUGGUGUCGUGCCGGCGGCUGACCCCGGCGUGCCCCCUGCUGUUUUGGAGCCAUUGCGGCCUCUCCUUGCAGCUCAGGCGGAGGCGCUUGGCGCUGAGCUUCAGGCCUUGUUCGCUGCUCGUCUUGAGGUGCUGUUCAAGCCUCUUCAAGACUUGGUUGCUGCUGUGGAGAGUUGGACUGCUCAAGUCUCAAGCCUAUGGGAACCUAUGGAAGCUAUCGGGGGCAGCCAAGACCUUGCCAAUGUUGAAUCUGCUCCUCCUGUUGUGGCCGUUGGUGAGGAUUACAGUGCGCUUGUUGUGGCUGGUUGCUCAGCUGAGUUGAGUGAGAAGGCUCAGUCCGUUGAUGAUCCGCCUGCCUUGGAAAAGGUCAUGCUCGAGGAUGAUCCUCCUGACUUGGCUUCUGUCCUACCCGAAAUGUCGACACUGGAGGAGCCGAAGGUCUCCAGUGCCCCUUGCACUGGGAAGCCUUCAAAGGAGCUGAUCCAGAUGGAUGCAGAUGAGCCUCUUGGGAGAGCCUCCUCUUAG
rnacentral:rRNA from 1 species